CGGGGCGGCAAAACGUCCGCCCGGGCCCGAGGCGGGCGGAGGCAGCUGUGGUUACGUGCGGGGGGCCGGUGACGCAGUCGCGGGGCGCUGGGACGCGGCUUGCGGAGCCGGCCGGCGAGCGCAGGCCCCAGGCUCGGGCGCGGCGGCGGGACAGCACCUACCUUCCCGGCUUCGGGUCCGGGAGUGCGGGGCGCGGAGCCGCCGGAGCGCUGCCUCCCUCCUUCCUCCUCCCCUCGCCCCCGCCCCGCGGCGCGACACACAAUACUCGCCGGAAGCGGAAGCCGCGCCGAGGCUCGUGUCAGUGGAAGCUGGGGUGUCGGCGGGCGGCCGCGGCCGGGUCUAGCGGUGCCUGCGGAAGAAGGAGGAGGAGGGCUGGCGAUGAGAAGCAGCAGGGGGAAUCAAGGGCAAGAAGGGACCCAGAGGGGCAGGUGGCUGAGAUGCUGGCGUCCAGGUGACCCGAGGAAUCCUCUGGAGAUACAGGCCCGCGCAUGCGCGUGCUCGAGCGCUGAAGCCCAUUGCCCGCAGGGCGCUGGACUGGCGCCCCGGCCGGCGAGGCUGUCUAGUCCAGGCUCCAGGCCCCGGCUCUGGCCAGGCGCCGCCGCCUCCCGGUGCAGCUGAAAGUCGACGAAGAGGGCGGGGCGGGGGCGGCUUGUGGACUUCCACACUUUUCCUCUCUUCGGGCCAGUCUGGGGAGAGGGUGGCUAGCUGUGGCGGCGGCCAAUUACGUGGCGGACCUGCGGGGCUAAGCUGGCACGUCACUUCCGACUAGUGGAGUUUUUAGCCUUUUAACAUUCAAGGAUUAGAGCUCCCUCUUUGCCCACUAGCAGGGCAUUAGCUGGUGCUGAAGACAGUGGCUGCUUGGCGAGCCUGGAUCUCCAAGUGACCCCCUCAGCAACUCCUGAUGAACAGGACUGAAGCCAAUAUUAAAGCAAGUCAACCAAAGGUUCUCUGGUGUAGACAAGACAGCAAAAGGACAGACUACCUUGUGGAACCUAGCAUUGUUCUCCUUCUGCAGCACUAAGUAACAUUUGUUCUCCGUUAAGAUCUUUGCAAACCACACACAAGAAUUGCUGGUCAUCCUGCCAAUAGAUGCUGCUCACAGAACCAAAUUUCCUGUGCUGAAUUGUCACUCAUGGGCUUGAGAGUAGGAGACUGGAGACCAAGGUGGCUAGAAUCCAGUUGGGCCUGAUGUCUCCCUGUUGAAAGGGCUCCUUGUGGAAUGAAUAGCACAUGGCUCCUGUGGUGGAUCUGAUAGUGGCAUAGCACCAAGUGAUGCAGGCCUGCCAGGGGCCACAGACACAGAAGAUGCUCCCGGGGUCCCCCAUGUACUCCAGACACACUGCAGGCCACCUCUCCCAGCAGGUUGCCAGUCAUGGGCCCCAUCAUCAUGACUUCUGUCCAAGGUGUGCUCGGAAAUCUCUUCCUUAACUGUGACUUUCUGACAGGUGGAGGAUGUGGUCAGGAGUGGGAAAAGGAUUCGAGACGGGAAGAGGGAGGGGUUCAGGAUGAAGAGAGAUAAUCUGUGCCACAGAUGCUGGCCCUGCAGUUAGCUCCCACCUAGUCCGUGCACACACAUUCUAAUCCCCUCCCAUUCCUUUACAUGCUGCGGCCAGAGAGGCCUUUCUCAAAGUGGAAGUCUCAUCCUCACUUCUCUGGUUACAGUGCUGGGCCAUGGUAACUUACAAGGCUUAGCAGGAACUGUCUGCGCACUCCCCCUUCCUGCCCACUACCUUGUUUCCCUCCAGUUGCGAGAGAAAACAUUGAUUGAGCAUUAACUAUGUGCCAGGCUUGUCCUAAGUCCUUUGCAUGUAUUCACUCAAACAAUCCUCACAACAUUCCUAUCACAUCUCCCAUUUCACAGUGAGGGUUCUAAAGCACGUAGUGGGUGAGGAACUUGUCCAGGGUCACACAACUAAGUGGGGGUGGAGAAACAUCAAAUCUAGGUGGUCCAGGUGGUGGCCAGAACCCAUCAGCACCUCACUACAGCUGCCUCCAGUUUCUCGCUCUAGGAAAUACUCUUCCCUGUCAACUCCUGUUGUCCUCUGGGCUCAGUUGACAUGUCAUCUCCUUGAGGAGGACAUCCUGAGAUGCUCCCCGACUAGGGUGGGCACCCACUUCCACACUCCAAAUGCCUAUUUGACCUGUGUAUCGCUGCAUCCCCACUGCCUGGCAGAUAGCAGGCCCCUAAUAAAUAUGAUUUGAGCAAAUAAAUAUAGUUCUUCAAAAAAUAGGGAGGACUUCUUGCUUCAGGUAAUGGUAGGCUAGGACAUUUGGACCAACCCUCCUGCAGAAAAUAGCCAUUUAUUUUGAUGCAAUAUAUCUGGCUAUGACUAGAGAUUUCAAAUAUUUGGAGGGCUAUUAUGUGAAGAACUAAACUUACUCUUUGUGACAUAGAGGUCAGAAAUUGGUCGUUUCCAUAGAGUAUGAGAGAGACAGAAUUGUGCUCAUCAUAAGUAUCUUUUUUAAAAGUUAGACUUAAUAAAAUGGGCUGCCUUGGUAGGUGGUGAGUUCUCUGUCACGAAAGAGAUUCAGCCACUUGCUCUGAGAAAGCAUGGAGAAUAUCAACAUUGUAAGGGUCGACCACCUCAUCUCUGAGGCCCCCUCCUCACUUAGGUUGCCAUUGCAGGUGGAACACUGGGCUGAGUGUCAAAGAACCUGGGUUCCACAAACUGUGCGACCAUGGCUGGUUGUUUUGGAUCUCAUUCCUAAUAUCUGUUAGUUAAGCUGACCCGUCAAUACUGACCCACUUCACAGAGUUAUGAAGGGAUUAAAUUAGGUAUUACAUGUAAAUCUGUUUUGUUUGCUUUUUGUUGUUCUUUUUUGUUUUGCUUUUUUCUUUGCAUUAUGAAAUCCCAAGUCAACUUUUUCCAUUCUUUUAUUUUUUUAAAAAUUGACAUCAUCAUUAUAACCACAAAAUAAUUUUUAAAAUGGAAAAAAAAAACUCACCUGCAACCCCACAAUCUAAUACAAUAAUCAUACUUUUUUCCCUUUAUUCUCCUUUAUUGUGACCAAGGAUGACUUUGGGCAUUGCUGUGAGGAACUAUUUCGUUUAACACCCUACUACCUGAACAUGAUGCGUACUCAGCCUUUCACCACCCCCCAAGUAGCUACACAUGAUGUGAUAAUAGUAUUGGUGGUGGUUUUAGAGAGUUGGAGAGAAAACUGAAGUUGGAUUUGGGUAAAAGAAAAAAGAGUGGGAAUUAUUUUUUCUCCAUUCUAAAGCCCAUAAAGCAAUGUUAAUUGUUCCCACCCCUCUGCUAUUCUGUCUCCUCAGGUACUGUGUGCAGAAAUGUGAUUGAGAUUCAAGUCAGGGCCUCUCUGCCCUUUUCCCUCCAGAAACAAAACCAAGAUAAUUUAUCCUGAACACGGUGAAAAAAGGAAGGGAGGGAGGAGAAAAAGUCCGGGUCUCACCUGGGAUUCUCUGUCUCCUGCAACAUGAAGGAUUUAGCCUGGGAGGAGGUGGUGAGAACUCUGGGAGAGAAAAAAGAAGGAAAGAAUAGUUUUACCCAUGCUGAAGUUAAUUUAAACCUUCACCUAGAGAAGCAAAAAAAAAAAACCCACACUUUCCCAUUUUGUGCCUCCCUUCCUAGAGUUUUAGCCAAAGGUUUAGCUAAGUAAUUGGUUUUACCAGCGCACUCACUCCUCCUAUCCCAAGUCUGUUUGACUCCCUCCCCAUCAUCCUCCUCACCUCUUUUCAGGCAGGGUGGGGAUAGCAGCAGGAGGAGAUUUUGGGAGCCUGGCAACUCCUGCAAGGACCGCAGGACAGCCCCUCUGUGGGGAUGCGUGGUGCCCCAUCUGCCGCCCUUCUGAAGAAUGCACUGCCUUCACUUUUUACUGUGUUAGAGUCCAUCCAGACUGUUCUAUCCAAAAAAGUUUCUUUUUCCCCCACAGGCAAUCAGGAAAUGAUUCCUUUCCCGACUGCUUCUGUCUAGUGCCUGGGAAUCUUGAGUCAAUCCCUCAGUAAGUCAGUGACUAGGGAAAUCCCUCUCUGAGCCUCCCAGUUCAUGUUGCUUAGGGAACCUGAUAUUUUCGUGAAACCUGCCUACACAUGGGCAGCCCAACAGCAGAACAAAUGGUGGUGACCAAAGUGAACAAAGAAGUAUAGUUGUGCCAGCUUCGUAGUUGCCCAUGUGGACAAGUCAGCAGGAUCAGGACACGAGGAAGAGUAAAUGUGAGACAGUCAAUGUGACUUCUGCGAUAAACAGAUUUUUAAACCCCGAAAUUUUGCAAAAUUUUGGUGAAACCUGAACUUUCUUCGUUGCAUAUACUGGCACUAUCUGUACCAUCAUACAACUGUCUCACAUUAAAGCUAUUUUUCUUGGGCACUGAUGAGUAAGGUUGGUAUAAGUUCCUCAGAUCAACAAAAACCCAUUUUCCUGUAAGUCUUACAUUUAGUAUUUAAGGAACUAAAACUUAAAUACAUUUUGUGAAAUGGUUGACACUUCACUGAUAAUGAUUUAUUGCUUGGAUUAAUAAAUUUUCCAAAAGUUGUCUUAUGUAGAAUAUGGUUUGCAACCAGCAGAACCAUUAAUCUAUACUGCAAUGAUAUGCACUAUGUAUAAUUGUUUAAAAGCCUCUACUUAAUGAUGUAAAAUGCUCUAUUUAAUUACACAUUUGGGUAAACUGUAUACUAACAUCUGAUGGCAUUUUUCCACUGUUUGUUGCUUUUUUCAAAUACUUUAUUGUACAAAGCUGUUCUUAAUAUUUUUCAAGUUUUUUUCUUUGAAUUUUGCUAAUGUUUUCCUUGAAUUAUGAGCACUGACAGAAUGUGCUUAGCACUUUUGGCUAUUCACACAGCUUUUGAGCAUGAUUUGCAUCCAAUAUUUACAUUGCUAGCAAUAAUAAGCCAUCUGUGAGUUUUGUCAAAAGUUAUUGGGGAUUUUUUAAAUUUUAGAAAUGCAAAUUAUUGUUUCUUUGAACUAACUCUUAUGCAGUUGCAAAGGCAUUUCCAGUUGUUAUAGUUUGUGUACAAUAUCAGGUGUUCCAGAUUAUGAUUCAUUAUUAAUAUCAUUGCUUCCUUGUUCCCUCUGAGGUCCAGAAGAUUCAUGUUUACAAUAUUUAGAAACAAUGUUAAAAAGGUAUCCAAAGUUUGUCACUUUAUUAUUAGUUUGUUCUUAAUAUUCUGUUUAAGUUUUUGAAUUCAUAGAUAUCAAAACGCUGCACAAUUAUGAUUUCCACAGGAAUAACAACACACUAACAAUAAGAACCAAAAACAGCAAAUAGGCUGCCUACAAGUUUUGACAAUAUUAGGAUAAUGAUAAUGACAGUUUUUCUAAAUCUCACAGUAAAGAAUGCAGCAACCCAGCAACACUGCUACCUGUGGCCUCAGGCUGCAGUGUCAGCUCUUCCCUGGGUCUCCAGCCUGCCAGUCUAACCUGAAAAUUAUGUACUUGCCAGCCCCCACAGUCACGUGAGUGAACUGGCCCAGGCUGGUCACCAGGGUCAGUUUCUCUGUGUGUCAUUAAUUCAUUCAGUCUUCAGCAGUCUCUUUGGAGCUGAGAUGUACCUACCAUCUGCCUUUUGGGUGCUUAGGGUGGAGAACCAGAAAAGUAUAACCUAGUGUGUAUCCUCAAAGAGCUAACAAUAUGGGGUGGUACCUAUAGGUCUGGAAACACUUUACUGACUCUGUGAGGCAUACCAGGAGACGUCAGAGAACAGUCCCUCCUCAAAUGCCAAAUGAGAUGCAGAAGAAAUAGUUUGCUCAAGUUCAUGGGCCAGAUAUCCCAGUGGUCAGGGAGUUUCAUGAAUGAGAUGGAACUUUGCAUGGAACCCGAGGGAUGUGUAUGAUUUGAGUAGAUGAAGAAAAUGAGACUUUCCAAGCAGCUAGAAGUUAGGGAGCAGCAAGAUGUGUGGUGGGAUUGAGCACAGUUGGUUCAGAGGAUAGACUGCAGUUUUAAUAAUUUGUAGUAAAUAUCUCCCAACUGUUUGGCACUAUUGGAGCAAGUUCUUGAAUGCCAAAUGAAGGCAUAAAUCAGUAAGAGGCAUAAUAAAAGGCUGAGCAGUGCUUGGCUUUUUACGAACUGAUCCUGAUAGGAGCAGCUGUUCAACAAAGUUGCCAGGUCACCGUUACAUAGUCCCUGCCUUCUAGGGGCUCACUGCCUACUGGGAGAGACAGUCUGAAAGUUGGUGGAGCAUGUAACUGUUGGAUGAGGAGUUUGAGCCUGUGGACUGUGGGACCCCCGAGGAGGGUGUGGCUACUCUAGGCAGAACAAUCCCACAGUUUAUUUAUAUUUAACCUUGAAAUUCAUUAGAGGAUUUUUCAGCAGAGGUUUGGUACUUGUUAAUGUUAAGGUUUGCAUUCUCUAGAACCUCAAGGAAAGCUGUACCGUGCAUAAUGUACCCUCUUAUGUUAAUGUUGUGUACUGUGAUCCUGUUUCAGGGACUUGCACUUAGGAAUCUGUUACAGUGAGCACAGAAGCAGACCUGUGGGCUCAUAGUCUUCACCCCCCACCCAUAUAUACAAGAUGAACAGAGUGGAGGUUAAACAACUUGACUAAACAACACAGUUCAUGGUAAAGCCCAAGACUGUACCUGCCCAUCCACUGCCUUUUCCAUGUAUCCUGGAACUGAGCAUAGACCUCUUCCCAGGCAGAGCUGACAGCAAGUAAAGGAGAUCAUAAUCAGGGGACCAAACAACUUUGUCUAAAGUGUGAAUGUCACCUAAGGAGAAGCUGUGAGAUCAGAAGGGUGGGGCAGAGGAGCAGACACCAUGAGGGAGAGUCCUUGGGGGUACAUCUGCCAGACUGACACUGUCUGGCCUGGGCAGUGGAGGGGCUAGCAGGAACCACAGGUACUGGUGGUGUGGCUACUACCGUUACAACUGCCUGUGCUUGGACAUGGACCCUCUGCAAUAUGCGGCAGUUUCAUUCAUUGCCCCCUACAUUCUACACCAAGUAGAAAUGGAAGGCAAUUGGAUACUUCACAGACAAGAUCUAAGUGGAGAAGGAAUGCGUCCUGUGGCUGCAGAGAUCCUUGGAGCUUGGAGGGGAGAGCUUGAGCCCCACUGAUGAUGACCUCCCACAGCUCGCCAACUCAGCCCUCCCUAAGUCCCCAUCGGGGGCCAAUUCUCACUCUGGGGUUGGGGGGACUCCACCAUAGCUCAUCCAUCAUAGGGAUGUUGGUAUCUACUGUGGGUUGGGUAGGGCCGAUGUGCUGAGGAUGGCUCCCCCACAAGCAAGAGAUGUGGAUUUGGGGAGCUUCCCAUCUUGUGUUGAAGGAACAUAACUCAGAAUAAUAAGAGCCAACUAUAACAAACCCACAGCCAACAUCAUACUGAAUGGGCAAAAGCUGCAGGCAUUCCCCUUGAAAAGUGGCACAGGAUAAGGAAGCCCUUUCUCACCACUCCUAUUCAAUAUAGUGUUGAAAGUCCUGAUCACAGCAGUCAGGCAACAGAAAUAAUAAAGGGCAUCCAAAUAGGAAGAGAGGAAGUCAAACUAUCCUUGUUUGCAGACAGUAUGAUUCUAUAUCUAGAAAACCCCAUAGCCUCAGCCCAAAAGGUCCUUCAUCUGAUAAUUUCAGCAAAGUUUCAGGAGACAAAAUCAGUGUACAAAAAUCACUAACAUUCCUAUACACAGUCGCCAAGCCAAGAGCCAAAUCAGGAGCACAAUCCCAUUCAUAAUUGCCACAAAAAAGAAUAAAAUACCCAGGAAUGCAGCUAACCAAGGAAGUAAAGGAUCUCUACAAUGAGAAUCACAAACGCUGCUCAAAGAAAUCAGAGAUGACACAAACAAAUGGAAAAACUUUCCAUGCUCAUGGCUAGGAAGAAUCAAUAUCAUUAAAGUGGCCAUACUACCCAAAGCAAUUUAUAGAUUCAAUGCUAUUCCUAUCAAACUAUCAAUUACAUUUUUCACAGAACUAGAAAAAACUUAAAAUUCAUAUGGAACCAAAAAGCCUGAGUAGUCAAGGCAAUCCUAAACAAAAAGAACAAAGGUGGAGGCAUCACAUUACCUAACUUCAAACUACAGGGCUACCAUGACCAAAACAGCAUGGUACUGGUACAAAAGCAGACACACAGACCAGUGGGACAGAAUAGAGAGCCCAAAAAUAAGGCCACAAACCUACAGCCAUCUGAUCUUCAACAAAGUUGACAAAAACAAGCAAUGGGGAAAGGUCUCCCUAUUCAAUAAAUGGUGCUGGGAUAACUGGCUGGCCAUAUGCAGAAGAUCGUAACUGGACCCCUUUUACUAUGUACAAAAAUUAAGAUGGUUUAAAGAGUUAAAACCCAAAAUUAUAAAAAUCCUGAAGAUAACUUAGGCAAUACCAUUCUGGACAUAGGAACUGGCAAAUAUUUCAUGAUGAAGACACCAAAAGCAAUUGUAACAAAAGCAAAAAUGGACAAAUUGGAUUUAAGAGCUUUUUCAUAGCAAAAUAAACAACAGGGCAGACAAUCUACCAAAUGACAGAAAAUUUUUGCAAACUAUGCAUCUGACAAGGGGCUAAUAUCUAGCAUCUAUAAGGAAUUUAAACACAGUUACAGG
rnacentral:lncRNA from 1 species